rnacentral:rRNA from 1 species
GUCCACGCUGUAAACGAUGGGCACUAGGUGCUCGGGGUAUUGACCCCUGGGUGCCGUAGCUAACGCAUUAAGUGCCCCGCCUGGGGACUACGGCCGCAAGGCUAAAACUCAAAGGAAUUGACGGGGCCCGCACAAGCGGUGGAGCAUGUGGUUCAAUUCGACGCAACGCGAAGAACCUUACCUGGGCUAGACAACAGGAGACAAUCCCAGAAAUGGGCCUUUCCCUUCGGGGACUCCUGGUUCAGGUGCUGCAUGGCUGUCGU